CUGCGGGCGAGGGUGCAGUCCGCCUACCGCUGCAAGUUCUGGCGGAACAUGAUGCGCGCCGCGCUCACCUACGAGGAGUGGGCGCACGCGGCGCGUAUGCUGGAGCUCGAGGCCGCGCCGCGCCGGGCCAGCGACGCCGACCUCUACGACGAGGAGCUUGUCCGCAAUAAGCUCCGCGAGCUCAGGCACCGGCGCCAGGAGGGAUCGCUCAGGGACAUCGUCUUCUGCAUGCGUGCUGACCUGCUCAGGAACCUCGACAAUAUGUGCAACCCCGAACUGCACAAGGGGAGGCUGCAGGUGCCUAGACUCAUAAAGGAAUACAUUGAGGAAGUAUCUACUCAACUGAAAAUGGUUUGUGAUUCUGAUUCAGACGAGUUGCCUCUCGAAGAGAAACUCGCAUUUAUGCAUGAGACAAGACAUGCCUUUGGUAGAACAGCCUUGCUGCUAAGUGGAGGUGCUUCAUUAGGAUCCUUUCAUGUGGGUGUUGUUAAAACCUUGGUAGAACAUAAACUUCUGCCAAGGAUAGUUUCAGGAUCAAGUGUAGGCUCAAUAAUGUGUUCUAUAGUAGCAACAAGAUCAUGGCCUGAGCUGGAGAGCUUUUUUGAAGAGUGGCAUUCCCUGAAAUUUUUUGACCAGAUGGGUGGAAUCUUUCCUGUGGUUAAAAGAAUUUUGACGCAUGGCGCUCUUCAUGAUAUAAGACACUUGCAGGUGCUUUUGAGAAACCUUACCCGCAAUCUGACAUUUCAAGAAGCUUAUGACAUUACUGGUCGGAUUCUUGUUGUCACUGUGUGUUCUCCAAGGAAGCAUGAGCCGCCUCGAUGCCUAAACUAUUUAACGUCACCUCAUGUUCUUAUCUGGAGUGCAGUAACAGCUUCCUGCGCUUUUCCUGGACUUUUUGAGGCCCAAGAAUUGAUGGCAAAAGAUAGAUUUGGUCAAACCAUUCCUUUCCAUGCUCCAUUCUUAUUAGGCAUGGAGGAACGAACUGUUGCUCCAACCCGCCGCUAGAGAGAUGGGAGCUUAGAAAGCGAUUUACCCAUGAAGCAAUUGAAGGAACUAUUCAAUGUGAAUCAUUUCAUAGUAAGUCAAGCCAAUCCUCACAUAGCUCCACUAUUGAGACUAAAGGAAAUCAUCAGGGCUUAUGGAGGCAGCUUUGCUGCCAAGCUUGCUGAACUUGCCGAGAUGGAAGUUAAACAUAGGUGUAAUCAAGUUCUGGAACUUGGAUUUCCUUUAGGAGGAUUAGCUAAACUAUUUGCUUAAGAUUGGGAAGGUGAUGUUACAGUUGUUAUGCCAGCCACUCUUGCGCAGUAUUCCAAGAUGAUACAAAACCCGUCUUAUGCUGAGCUUCAGAAGGCUGCAAAUCAAGGUAGGAGAUGCACUUGGGAAAAGUUAUCAGCCAUCAGGGCAAAUUGUGCUAUUGAGCUUGCACUGGAUGAAUGUGUUGCCCUCCUAAACCACUUGCGUAGGCUAAAGAGGAGUGCAGAAAGAGCAUCCGCAUCGCAAGGAUAUGGUCCAGUAAUCAGGUUCUGCCCAUCUAGGAGGAUUCCAUCCUGGAAUCUCAUAGCGAGAGAAAAUUCAACUGGUUCUCUUGAUGAAGAAAUGCUGGAAUCUCCUCAUACAAAUCAUCAAGGACCUGGAGGAGUUGCUGGAACAUCUACUAGAAAUCGGUAUUUUCAGAGAAAUGCACACGAGAGCAGUGACAGUGAAUCUGAGAGUAUUGAUUUACACUCUUGGACAAGAAAUGGUGGCCCUCUUAUGAGGACAGCCUCAGCCAAUAAAUUCAUCAGCUUCGUUCAGAAUCUUGAGAUCGACACAGAAUUCAGAACAAUUCCAUCGAGGGAAAACCUAACUGAUCUUGUGACACCAAAUGCUGGUAGCUUGGCAGCUCAUGCAGUGAAUAGAGAAGCAACCGAUAGGAGCUUGGACAUUUCAGCUUUAGAUAUCCAUGAUACCGCUACCCCUAGAUCGACAUUUGGCCGUUCAACAAGCAUCGUUGUUUCUGAAGGUGACUUGUUGCAGCCUGAAAAGAUUGAAAAUGGUAUUUUGUUUAAUGUUGUAAGGAGGGAUACUCUGCUGAGGAGGUCCUUCGUUGACGAUGACAUGACUAGGUCCGCUUGGGACAUUGUGCAGUCGUUUGCUCCCAGGGAACAGGGAAGUGAACCGGGAGAGCGUGUGGACACUCGUUGCAAUUCGGACACAGAGGAAGAGAGUGAGGCUGAGGAUGGGGUGGCAGCUGUGGAGAGCGAGCUGAAAGAGUUGAGGAUAGGAGAGACCUUCGAGGGGCUCACUGGAACUUCUUCAUUGUCAACGACAAAUGAUGAUGAUGCGUCCAGUACAACCACGGAGGCCAUGUUCAUCAUCUCACUGAAUGGCAAGUUCAAGCGUAAGAUUAAGUCAUGGAUGCGUGGUGCUCUUCUGGGAAGCGGCUCAUUUGGGAUGGUGUACGAGGGGAUCAGUGAGUAAGUGCCAGUGCUUUUGAAUAUUACUUUGAGCUCAAAUUGUUUGCAUAGUUACUUUGUUACUCAUCAGACACCGC